rnacentral:rRNA from 1 species
AUGGAGAUGAAACCCAAAAGAUUUUCGUUGGGGCGUAACCCUCUCAGUGACGCGCCACAUCGGAACCCGGGUGUGGUGGAAAAUGGGCAAGGGCCGGGCCGUCACCCCCCAAGUGGCGCGCCGUAUCUUGAUCCGGAUACGGUGGCAAGUGAGCGAGGAUCGGGCCGUCGCAUCCUUAGUGGCGCGCUACAUCGGCGACCGGAUGUAGUGGAAAAUGAGCAAGGGUCUUCGCAUUUGACUCGACGAGUGCGAAGGGUAAGGAAGCUAGCCGAGCCUAGGAGGAUUCGCUUAGGUAGCUGGAACGUAGGGUCUCUGACAGGGAAGCUUCGGGAGCUAGUUGAUGCAGCAGUGAGGAGAGGUGUUGAUAUCCUUUGCGUCCAAGAAACCAAAUGGAGAGGAUAG